CGGGGGGAGCAAGCGUUGUUCGGAUUUACUGGGCGUAAAGGGCGCGUAGGCGGCCACCGCAAGUCGACUGUGAAAUCUCCGGGCUUAACCCGGAAAGGUCAGCCGAUACUGCGGGGCUAGAGUGCAGAAGGGGCAACUGGAAUUCUCGGUGUAGCGGUGAAAUGCGUAGAUAUCGAGAGGAACACCUGCGGCGAAGGCGGGUUGCUGGGCUGACACUGACGCUGAUGCGCGAAAGCUAGGGGGGCGAACGGGAUUAGAUACCCCGGUAGUCCUAGCCUUAAACGAUGAAUGCUUGGUGUCUGGGGUUUUAUAGUCCCCGGGUGCCGUCGCUAACGCUUUAAGCAUUCCGCCUGGGGAGUACGGUCGCAAGACUG
rnacentral:rRNA from 1 species